rnacentral:rRNA from 1 species
CCCAGACUCCUACGGGAGGCAGCAGUGGGGGAUAUUGCACAAUGGGGGGAACCCUGAUGCAGCGACGCCGCGUGGGUGAAGGAGCGUUUCGGCGCGUAAAGCCCUAUCGGCAGGGAAGAAGGAGGACGGUACCUGACUAAGAAGCCCCGGCUAACUACGUGCCAGCAGCCGCGGUAAUACGUAGGGGGCAAGCGUUAUCCGGAUUUACUGGGUGUAAAGGGGGCGCAGACGGCAGCGCAAGCCAGGAGUGAAAGCCCGGGGCCCAACCCCGGGACUGCUCUUGGAACUGCGCGGCUGGAGUGCAGGAGGGGCAGGCGGAAUUCCUGGUGUAGCGGUGAAAUGCGUAGAUAUCAGGAGGAACACCGGUGGCGAAGGCGGCCUGCUGGACUGCAACUGACGUUGAGGCCCGAAAGCGUGGGGAGCAAACAGGAUUAGAUACCCCCGUAUU